rnacentral:misc_RNA from 1 species
AGCUGUUUCGCUGCUGCCUGCCACUUUGCGUGCAGCAGCGGCGCUGAUCCUGCGGCACACACAUAUACGCACACAAUAUAUAAGCAUCUGAUAUAUAUAUAUAUAGAUGUUUACUGAACAACAACACUGAGUGUUGCUCUGUCCCGCGAGCACCCCACCCCCACACCCCUCCCCACACAGAGAGAGAAACAGUGAUACUCCCACAUUGUUCCUAUGCGAUCUUCUACACCCCCUAUUUCCGUUUUUCUCUUUUCGCCCAACAGCACUUGCGCCAUCCAUCCACUCAUCCAUCCGCAGACACACACACACACACACACACACAUACACAUUCACACAUACACCGGUUCUGCCUUUCAUUUCUUUCCCUCUCUUCCUUCCGACACCUUGUUCCUCACCCGUUCCAAAGAGGAAGUAAGCGAGUGAGCAGAGAAUCAACAGAAACGCAGUGCGGACACCGACGACCACCACCAGCUCUGCGGGAGGAGUGCGGAGCUAAGCGGUAAGGGCGCACCCCUCUUCUAUUACUAUUUUACGUUCAUUGUUGACCUGCGUGAUGCACUGACCACUCGCUAGGCUUUUGUUGCUGUUCUUAUCCUCCGCAUCCCGCUCUGUUUCUCUCAUUUCUGGCCACCUUGCGGUUUGCUCUUGCGCCUUCUACAGGUACACACCACGUAUCCGCGAGCGACUGUCCUACCCCGAACAGCGCACACGCACUUCUCUGUUGUUGUCUGUUUCGGCUUGCUUUUCUUCUCUCACUAUACCCCUACCCCACCACACCACACGCACAUUGACCUCAGAAGCUCACUUCCCGCUGCUUGCGUGUUUGGUCUUACGCGUGGGCGCAUCCUCCUCUUCCUCUUACCUGUGUGCCUGUCUGGCUGCACGUCGCGGUCGCUUUCUUCGCGGGCUCGCUGUGUGCGUGUGCUCAUCGCUUCUUGUCGCUUCGCCCUUCCCCCCUCUCUCUCCCCCAGUAGUGUCCUGUUUUCUUUGCUUUCACGAUCCCGUCCAGGCAGUACCCUACUCCGAUGAUCAUCGGUGCACCGUCGAAGAGAUGGGCAACAGAGAGUGUUCCUGAGCUACUCGCAUCCCCACAGACAGACCUCGCUGCGGUGUUGUUGUCAGACGGCGUUGCCGACUAUCUGCACAGCAUCCACUCGCUGGGGACCGCCCGUGUGAAUCGACGCAGAGGCGACGGCUCCGACAAGGACGAGGACGGCAGCUCCGACGGCAUUCCAAGCGCUGUGCGUGUUGUUCUUCAAUACAUUGUACGGCAUGCAGAUACGCUGUUCUCGCUGCUUCACGGAAAGUCGCAGAUAGAGAAUGGCCCUAUGGGCUCGAAACACCAGCCGCAAGGCUCCUUUCCGACGGUCUGCACCACUCCAGGAGAGGCCGAAGCAUCGACGGGAGUCGUGGAGAUAGAACACCCAUCCAAGGGGAAUCACGCCAACGGUGCGCCGACAUCAGCCGCCGCCGUCAUCGGCGAUGCUGAGGAGGAGCAGGAGCGGCGGUGCCUCGCGAACUUGACGGAGCUGCUCUCUUUCUGUAUCACCCACUCACAGGAGCGAUCGGAAAUCAACGCGGUCGUGGCGGCCUGCAUCGAAGCACUGAGCGUGGAGAAGACCCUGGAGUCGCAGCGCACGUUUGCCGUGCAGCGUCUCCUGCUAGAAGCCUUCGAUAAUGACUUCGAGGCGACCACGCAGGCCAUCGCCGACACCCUCACGCAUUCGACCAUUAAGGGUGUGGUGGAGAACCUGGCGAGCAACUCCAUUGUCGCCGAGACCCUCAUAGCGCUCUUUGGAUCAGCGCUGUCCGCGGUGUGGAUGGUGAAGCCAACGACCAAGACGGCGCUCUUCACGUCGCAAUGGAUUCGACUUGACUUCCCGACGACGCUCUGCGCCUACCUACCCGUCGCCAUUCGCGACCCCGGGAUGUACCACUACUUUUACUUCUUCAAGGAACUACUCAAGCGCGGGUACAGCCACAGCGCUGGGCCAAUCGUGGAUGUGCUCCUCAGCGAGCCGCUUGUCUCCGACUACGUUGAGCGCAUCUUAAGCUGCUGCGAGCAGGAUGUGGGGAGGUCGGCGCUCUUGACGCCAGAGGGCGCCGCAGCGACGCCUGUGUCGCUGGCGGCGGAUGGGAUGGAGGUGCUUGUCUCGAUCAUUGGCCUCGUGCGGAAGUCGCUGGUGCUGCCCGAGACAAGCUGCAUGUACGAAACGGCCACACGGUACAUUACGCCGGUGGCGGUGCUUCAGGCACAGGCGCUACGCGUGACGGCGCUCCUUGCCCCGACUGCACAGGAGGAGGCCGAGCUGGACGCGCACGCGCCAUCUGCGGAUGCGUCGCCAAGCUGCCUCUCUGCGGUCGCUCCGGCAGGGAUGUAUGGCCUGGGCCCGCUCCGGCUUGCGGUCUGCGAGUUGUUCGUGGAGCUCUCCCUCUUCCAGCUGGCCAGCACCGACAACACCCUCAUCACGAGCGGCUUCUUCCCUGCGCUCAUCGGCUGCUGCGAGCGCUUUCCGCAGCACGACGCGCUCGCGAGGGCUCUGCACCGCUGCAUCUUGACCAUCUUUCAGCGGGCAACGCUUGUUGGCGAAAGUCUCAGCGCUGCGGCCGAGCGGGAUUGCCUGUGGAGGUACCUGGUGAAGGCAGACACUGUUGUGCUGCGGUGUGGCGCGGUCGAAUCUGUCCUUGGCGCGCUGACGCGCCUCGCACAGAUCCCGAAUACGUCCCUGUCGAGCCUCUGCAUCGAUGUAUUGACAAAUUUAUCCUCGCUGCCACUCUUCCAGUCCACCGCCGGUGGCCCGUUUGAGAAGCACCUGGAAGCUUUCAAGGCGUGCGAGGCCAUUCAAGAACGCGUGCGCCACAUGGACGCCCCGAUCACGGGUGAGCGCUUUAAGGAGCGCGGCUCGACCGGGCUACCACAGCCGGUACACCGCGAUACCAUCAACCUCGCAGGCGAUCGCUUCCACGGCCCGAAGGCGGGCGGCCUCUCUCGCGGCUCGCGCCUUUCCGAGUUUUCAAGCAAGUUUACAAAAGGUUCGUAUAUAGUUUUGCGCCGCAGCGCCGAUGACGACCGACCACAGCGCCCAGCGCAGGACGCGGUAGUAGACAUCGAGGCCCUGAAAGAAGAGGUGCACACCCUGCAACAGGGCGGUUCCCCAGCCCUGCAGUCGUACCCCAGCUUUAGCAACGUGAACUUCAAUUUCUUGUCGGCGGAAGGAGACACAGAUGAAGAUCAGAACGACACUGCGACUCAAUCAUCAGAAGCGCACCGAGAUUGACACAUAUUCUCUUGUUUUUCUGUACAUCCCCCGCACUUGUUGCUGUAGUCGUCGUCGCUGGUGAAAAUGGGCAUCAGUGCGCCAGUAGAGCUCUCUUCCCGUUUCUCCUCAGUUUUCCUGUGGUUGCUUCUCUUUCUUCCGUUCUGUCUCCGUGCGGUUGAGUGACGCAUGCUUUCUUUUUGUCUUAAAG